UACCUUGGGGUGCUUUAAAUAGCUGAGAUGCCACUGUGCGGACCCAUUGAACCUGAACCGGCUAACACCGGCGGAGGGAAGGU
rnacentral:ncRNA from 1 species